UACGGAGGGUGCAAGCAUUAAUCGGAAUAAUUGGGCGUAAAGGGCGCGUAGGCGGAUAGAUAAGUCAGAUGUGAAAUUCCGAGGCUCAACUUCGGAGCUGCAUUUGAAACUGUAAGUCUUGAGGUAUGGCGGAGAAAGUGGAAUUCCACGUGUAGCGGUGAAAUGCGUAGAUAUGUGGAAGAACACCUGUGGCGAAAGCGGCUUUCUAGCUAUGACCUGACGCUGAGGCGCGAGAGCAAGGGGAGCAAACAGG
rnacentral:rRNA from 1 species